rnacentral:rRNA from 1 species
GACGAACGCUGGCGGCAGGCCUAACACAUGCAAGUCGAGCGGACCUUUCGGGGUCAGCGGCGGACGGGUGAGUAACGCGUGGGAAUAUGCCCUUCUCUACGGAAGAUACCUGGGAAACUGGUGGGAAUACCGUAUACGCUCUCUGGGGGAAAGAUUUAUCGGGGAAGGAUGAGCUCGCGUUGGAUUAGGUAGUUGGUGGGGUAAUGGGCUACCAAUCCGACGAUCCAUAGCUGGUUUGAGAGGAUGAUCAGCCACACUGGUACUGAGACACGGCCCAGACUCCUACGGGAGGCAGCAGUGGGGAAUCUUAGACAGUGGGGGCAAUCCUGAUCUAGCCAUGCCGCGUGAGUGAUGAAGGCUUUAGGGUUGUAAAGCUAUUUAAGCUGGGAAGAUAAUGACGGUACCAGCAGAAGAAGCCCCGGCUAACUCCGUG